AUUGAACGCUGGCGGCAGGCCUAACACAUGCAAGUCGAGCGGAUGAGAGGAGCUUGCUCCUUGAUUUAGCGGCGGACGGGUGAGUAAUGCCUAGGAAUCUGCCUGGUAGUGGGGGAUAACGUUCCGAAAGGAACGCUAAUACCGCAUACGUCCUACGGGAGAAAGCAGGGGACCUUCGGGCCUUGCGCUAUCAGAUGAGCCUAGGUCGGAUUAGCUAGUUGGUGAGGUAAUGGCUCACCAAGGCGACGAUCCGUAACUGGUCUGAGAGGAUGAUCAGUCACACUGGAACUGAGACACGGUCCAGACUCCUACGGGAGGCAGAAGUGGGGAAUAUUGGACAAUGGGCGAAAGCCUGAUCCAGCCAUGCCGCGUGUGUGAAGAAGGUCUUCGGAUUGUAAAGCACUUUAAGUUGGGAGGAAGGGCAUUAACCUAAUACGUUAGUGUUUUGACGUUACCGACAGAAUAAGCACCGGCUAACUUCGUGCCAGCCGCCGCGGUAAUAC
rnacentral:rRNA from 1 species